rnacentral:rRNA from 1 species
AUUGAACGCUGGCGGCAGGCCUAACCCAUGCAAGUCGAACGAGUGGCGGACUGGUGAGUAAUGUCUGGGAAACUGCCUGAUGGAGGGGGAUAACUACUGGAAACGGUAGCUAAUACUGCAUACCAUCAGAUGUGCCCAGAUGGGAUUAGCUUGUUGGUGGGGUAACGGCUCACCAAGGCGACGAGCCCUAGCUGGUCUGAGAGGAAGAACAGCCACACUGGAACUGUGCCACGGUCCAGACGCCUACGUGCGGCAGCAGUGGGUAAGAUUGCACAAUGGGCGCAAGCCUGAUGCAGCCAUGCCGCGUGGAUGAAGAAGGCCUUCGGGUUGUAAAGUACUUUCAGCGGGGAGGCGUUACCCGCAGAAGAAGCACCGGCUAACUCCGUGCCAGCAGCCGCGGUAAUAC